UACAGAGAGAGCAUCCCAACCAUCAAAUCAAAUUCGUAAUCCAUGGCUCAUCUCAACUUCUUUUCUCCAAUUUAGAAAAUUUAAACUCCACCAUUUUCUCCCCAUCUCCAUCAACUCUUGGAGGAUAGGAAAGCCUCUCUUAUUCCUCUGCGCUCUCUCUUGAUCUCUGCUCCCAUUUGGAUUCCUAUUGGCCCUUCUCUAGCCCUUCUACUUUCUUAGCUCUUCAGCUUUAGUUUAAGAUCCCUUAACUUUAAUUCUCUUUCUAUGCUUUCCUUUUUCUUUUUCCCAAUUCUCUUAGAUUUAAAUUCCUCCAAUCCUAAGAGCAACCCUCUUUGAGAUCCAAGAAAGCGCAACGUAAGGUGAAAUCCAAGCUAGGAGAGAUCCUUAAUGGAUCUACUCCGAGAAGGAGCAAGUAUAUCAGAUUGUAUCGAUUGAUCACUAGAGAAGCUUCUUUUCCCUUAUCUUCCUUUUUUUAUUUAUUUGAUCUUGUUAUUAUAAUUGUUAACAUGUCAUCAAUCUAAAUUCAAUGAAAGUUCUGGUUCCUUGAUGAUAAAUUUGCUUGUAUUUCUCUUUUCUUGCUUGUUUUAGCUUAAUUGCUGCCUACUUGCAGAUAGUUAGUAGAUCCCUCUCUUUUUUUGGCUUUUAAGGCAUCUAUGUAGAUAGAUAAGGUCCAAGAUUCCUUGAUCGAACUCUUUAGAAAGCCCUAACACUAUCAAAUCCUGAGAUCUAACAUGUUAGGGCAUACCAAGGAAGUUAGAAUUUUGGUUUCUAGAUCCCGGCCAUCGAAUGCCCACUUAAUAGUUGCAUGGUAGUACCCCUAGGCCCUUCUCCCAAUAAAGAAGUAUAUUCCUAGAGAGGUUGCCUCAUUCCCAAGCCUUUUCCAACAACACCAUCUAGUCUUACUCAAGACUCAAUUUUGUUGAUUGGCCUAUCUACUCUUUUCUUUAGUUUUCUGGCUUUUCUUAGCCUUAAAAAGUAGAAGGCAACUUCAAACCACCUUAGAUUGCUGCCAUACCAUAAUUAUAAAGGAUGUUGCAAUAAUCUGGCGACUCCACUGGGAAAAUUCAAUUUGAAACUUGGAAAAACUAUGUAACUUGAAGUUGCUAGACCUAGGGCCUUUGCUUUUUGGUUUUUAGUUUGCUUUGUAUUUGCUUACUUCUUGCAUUUGCUUGUCUUUUUUUUCUCCAGGUUUUUAUCCAAAAAAAAAAGUUCACAAAAUCUUUAAAAGAGCCAAGGUCUACUGUGCCAAUACUGGACACCGUACCGGUUGCCUGGUGGCACGAGUCGGUACGGGCUAUGUCGGGCCUGUACCAAGAGAGAAAACCUGCCAUAGCUGGAGAAGGAGAAAAGAAAGAGAGAGCGAGCGGGGGAGGGAGGAGAAGAAGCAGCGGCAAACGCCGGUGGAGAGCCAUGGGGGGCCGACGGAGGCCACGGAAAAAAAAUUUAAAAUUUUUAAGUAAAGUCGGCAAGUCUAAGAUAUGACUGUACAUAUGCUUAACUAGCUUCUUUACUUGCUCUGGUUCUUGCUAUUA